AGCGAACGCUGGCGGCAGGCCUAACACAUGCAAGUCGAACGAACCCUUCGGGGUUAGUGGCGGACGGGUGAGUAACACGUGGGAACGUGCCUUUAGGUUCGGAAUAACUCAGGGAAACUUGUGCUAAUACCGAAUGUGCCCUUCGGGGGAAAGAUUUAUCGCCUUUAGAGCGGCCCGCGUCUGAUUAGCUAGUUGGUGAGGUAAUGGCUCACCAAGGCUACGAUCAAUAGCUGGUCUGAGAUGAUGACCAGCCACAUUGGGACUGAGACCCGGCCCAAACUCCUACGGGAGGCAGCAGUGGGGAAUCUUGCGCAAUGGGCGAAAGCCUGACACAGCCAUGCCGCGUGGAUGAUGAAGGUCUUAGGAUUGUAAAAUCCCUUCACCGGUGAAGAUAAUGACUGUAGCCUGAGAAGAAGCCCCGGCUAACUUCGUGCCAGCCGCCGCAGUAACAC
rnacentral:rRNA from 1 species